rnacentral:rRNA from 1 species
GACGAACGCUGGCGGCGUGCUUAACACAUGCAAGUCGAACGAAGUGGCGAACGGGUGAGUAAUACGUGGGUAACCUGCCCUCCUUUUUGGGAUAAGACUUGGAAACGGGGUCUAAUACCGAAUAAAGGGGGAUGGGCUCGCGGCCUAUCAGCUUGUUGGUGGGGUGAUGGCCUACCAUGGCGGUGCCGGGUAGCCGGCCUGAGGGGAUGACCGGCCACAUGGGGACUGGUAUACGGCAGAGAAUCCUACGGGAGGCCGCAGAGGGGAAGAUUGAACAAUGGGCGAAAGCCUGAUGCAGAGACGCCGCGGGGAGGAUGAGGACGUGCAGGUUGUAAACCUCUUUCGCUAUCGACCGGGUAGGUGGAGAAGAAGUGCCGGCUAACAACGUGCCAGCAGCCGCGGGAAUUC